rnacentral:misc_RNA from 1 species
ACAAACUUGGUCAUUUAGAGGAAGUAAAAGUCGUAACAAGGUCUCCGUUGGUGAACCAGCGGAGGGAUCAUUACCGAAGUUACUCUUCACCAAACCCUUAUGUGAACCCUACCUCUCGCCGCGCGGUUGCCUCGGCGGGGAGGUCUGGGGCGCCGUGGGGAAGGGGAGGCGCCGUCCGCGGCCUCUCCCCCUCCCGGCCCGCCCCCGGCCCCCGCCGGCCGCGCCCAACUCUUCUUCUGCAAAGCGGACUGCAUGCUCUGAUUACACUUGAAAGAAAACAAGUCAAAACUUUCAACAACGGAUCUCUUGGUUCUGGCAUCGAUGAAGAACGCAGC